UACGUAGGGGGCAAGCGUUGUCCGGAAUCAUUGGGCGUAAAGAGCGUGUAGGCGGUUCGGUAAGUCGGCUGUGAAAUCUCAGGGCUCAACCCUGAAACUGCAUUCGAUACUGCGCGGCUAGAGUGCUGGAGGGGAGACUGGAAUUUACGGUGUAGCAGUGAAAUGCGUAGAUAUCGUAAGGAAGACCAGUGGCGAAGGCGAGUCUCUGGACAGCAACUGACGCUGAGGCACGAAGGCCAGGGGAGCAAACGGG
rnacentral:rRNA from 1 species